rnacentral:rRNA from 1 species
UUUUAUGAGAGUUUGAUCCUGGCUCAGGACGAACGCUGGCGGCGUGCCUAAUACAUGCAAGUCGUACGCUUCUUUUUCCACCGGAGCUUGCUCCACCGGAAAAAGAAGAGUGGCGAACGGGUGAGUAACACGUGGGUAACCUGCCCAUCAGAAGGGGAUAACACUUGGAAACAGGUGCUAAUACCGUAUAACAAUCGAAACCGCAUGGUUUUGAUUUGAAAG